AACGGGUGAGUAACACGUGAGUAACCUGCCCCUGACUCUGGGAUAAGCGCUGGAAACGGCGUCUAAUACCGGAUAUGACAAUCGACGGCAUCGUCUGGUUGUGGAAAGAAUUUCGGUUGGGGAUGGACUCGCGGCCUAUCAGGUUGUUGGUGAGGUAAUGGCUCACCAAGCCUACGACGGGUAGCCGGCCUGAGAGGGUGACCGGCCACACUGGGACUGAGACACGGCCCAGACUCCUACGGGAGGCAGCAGUGGGGAAUAUUGCACAAUGGGCGCAAGCCUGAUGCAGCAACGCCGCGUGAGGGACGACGGCCUUCGGGUUGUAAACCUCUUUUAGUAGGGAAGAAGCGAAAGUGACGGUACCUGCAGAAAAAGCACCGGCUAACUACGUGCCAGCAGCCGCGGUAAUACGUAGGGUGCAAGCGUUGUCCGGAAUUAUUGGGCGUAAAGAGCUCGUAGGCGGUUUGUCGCGUCUGCUGUGAAAACCGGAGGCUCAACCUCCGGCCUGCAGUGGGUACGGGCAGACUAGAGUGCGGUAGGGGAGAUUGGAAUUCCUGGUGUAGCGGUGGAAUGCGCAGAUAUCAGGAGGAACACCGAUGGCGAAGGCAGAUCUCUGGGCCGUAACUGACGCUGAGGAGCGA
rnacentral:rRNA from 1 species